UGGGGAAUAUUGGACAAUGGGCGCAAGCCUGAUCCAGCCAUGCCGCGUGAGUGAUGAAGGCCUUAGGGUUGUAAAGCUCUUUCGCCGACGAAGAUAAUGACGGUAGUCGGAGAAGAAGCCCCGGCUAACUUCGUGCCAGCAGCCGCGGUAAUACGAAGGGGGCUAGCGUUGUUCGGAAUCACUGGGCGUAAAGCGCACGUAGGCGGAUUGUUAAGUCAGGGGUGAAAGCCUGGAGCUCAACUCCAGAACUGCCCUUGAUACUGGCAAUCUCGAGUCCGGAAGAGGUAAGUGGAACUGCGAGUGUAGAGGUGAAAUUCGUAGAUAUUCGCAAGAACACCAGUGGCGAAGGCGGCUUACUGGUCCGGUACUGACGCUGAGGUGCGAAAAGCGUGGGGAGCAAAACAGGAUUAGAUACCCUGGUAGUCCACGCCGUAAACGAUGGAGGCUAGCCGUUGGCGAGCAUGCUCGUCAGUGGCGCAGCUAACGCAUUAAGCCUCCCGCCUGGGGAGUACGGUCGCAAGAUUAAAAACUUAAAUGAAUUGACGGGGUCAUAGCUG
rnacentral:rRNA from 1 species